rnacentral:rRNA from 1 species
UACGGGAGGCAGCAGUGGGGAAGUAUUGCACAAUGGGCGCAAGCCUGAUGCAGCCAUGCCGCGUGUAUGAAGAAGGCCUUCGGGUUGUAAAGUACUUUCAGUCGUGAGGAAGGUGUUAAGGUUAAUAACCUUAGCAAUUGACGUUAGCGACAGAAGAAGCACCGGCUAACUCCGUGCCAGCAGCCGCGGUAAUACGGAGGGUGCGAGCGUUAAUCGGAAUUACUGGGCGUAAAGGGCACGCAGGCGGUUAAUUAAGUUGGAUGUGAAAUCCCCGGGCUUAACCUGGGAAUGGCAUUCAAGACUGGUUAGCUAGAGUCUUGUAGAGGGGGUAGAAUUCCAUGUGUAGCGGUGAAAUGCGUAGAGAUGUGGAGGAAUACCGGUGGCGAAGGCGGCCCCCUGGACAAAGACUGACGCUCAUGUGCGAAAGCGUGGGGAGCAAAC